AUUUGUCCUUACAAGCUCAAGGUUUUUCGAGCAUGUGGCGUAGUGGGGCAGUGGUGGAAUCGGUGCAUUUCAAACAGGCUUUAGGCCUCAGUGCAGAUGAUUUGAUCUAACGCGAAGAACCUUACCCAGGCUUGACAUCCUACUAAUUUCUCUGAAAGGAGAGAGUGCCUUCGGGCCGUAGUGACAGGUGUUGCAUGGCCGUCGUCAGCUCGUGUUGUGAAACGUUAGGUUAAGUCCUAUAACGAGCGCAACCCUUUUGUUUAGUUGUAUUUCUCUAAACAGACUGCCCUGGUAACAGGGAGGAAGGAGGGGUCGAAGUCAGGUCAGUAUUACCCUUACGUCUGGGGCUACAAACACGCUACAAUGGCCGGUACAAAGCGCAGCCAACCCGCGAGGGGGAGCAAAUCGCAUCAAAGCCGGUCUCAGUUCGGAUAGCAGGCUGAAACUCGCCUGCAUGAAGCUGGAAUCGCUAGUAAACGUAGGUCAGCACACUACGUUGAAUACGUUCCCGGGUCUUGUACACACCGAAU
rnacentral:rRNA from 1 species